AAUCAACGCUGGCGGCGUGCCUCAGACAUGCAAGUCGAACGAUUAAGACUUCCUUCGGGAAGUGCAUAAAGUGGCGCACGGGUGAGUAACACGUAAGUAAUCUACCUUUGAGUGGGGAAUAACCCGGGGAAACCCGAGCUAAUACCGCAUAAUGCAGCGGCAUCGCAAGAUGACAGUUGUUAAAGGAGCAAUCCGCUUAAAGAGGAGCUUGCGGCAGAUUAGCUAGUUGGUAAGGUAGUGGCUUACCAAGGCAACGAUCUGUAUCCGGUCUAAGAGGACGGUCGGACACACUGACACUGAAUAACGGGUCAGACUCCUACGGGAGGCAGCAGUCGGGAAUUUUGGGCAAUGGGCGAAAGCCUGACCCAGCAACGCCGCGUGAAGGAUGAAGUAUUUCGGUAUGUAAACUUCGAAAGAAUAGGAAGAAUAAAUGACGGUACUAUUUAUAAGCUCCGGCUAACUACGUGCCAGCAGCCGCGGUAA
rnacentral:rRNA from 1 species